CCUACGGGAGGCAGCAGUGGGGAAUAUUGCGCAAUGGGGGCAACCCUGACGCAGCAACGCCGCGUGAUUGAAGAAGGCCUUCGGGUUGUAAAGAUCUUUAAUUGGGGACGAAAACAAUGACGGUACCCAAAGAAUAAGCUCCGGCUAACUACGUGCCAGCAGCCGGGGUAAUACGGAGGGAGGAAGCGUUAUCCGGAUUUACUGGGUGUAAAGGGGGAGUCGGGGGGCUGGCAAGUUUGGAGUGAAAUUCCGGGGGUUAACCCCGGAACUGCUGUCAAAACCGCUGGUCUUGAGUGAGGGAGAGGCAGGCGGAAUGCGGGGUGUAGCGGUGAAAUGCGUAGAUAUACGGAGGAACACCAGUGGCGAAGGCGGCCUGCUGGACAUUAACUGACGCUGAGGAGCGAAAGCGUGGGGAGCGAACAGGAUUAGAUACCCGAGUAGUC
rnacentral:rRNA from 1 species